UACGUAGGGUGCGAGCGUUGUCCGGAAUUAUUGGGCGUAAAGGGCUCGUAGGCGGUUUGUCGCGUCGGGAGUGAAAUCCACUGGCUUAACUGGUGGCUUGCUUUCGAUACGGGCAGACUGGAGGUAUGCAGGGGAGAACGGAAUUCCUGGUGUCGCGGUGAAAUGCGCAGAUAUCAGGAGGAACACCGGUGGCGAAGGCGGUUCUCUGGGCAUGUCCUGACGCUGAGGAGCGAAAGUGUGGGGAGCGAACAGG
rnacentral:rRNA from 1 species